UGACCUCAAAUCAGGUAGGGAUACCCGCUGAA
rnacentral:rRNA from 1 species